AGCGUACACGGUGGAUGCCCUGGCAGUCAGAGGCGAUGAAGGACGUGCUAAUCUGCGAUAAGCGUCGGUAAGGUGAUAUGAACCGUUAUAACCGGCGAUUUCCGAAUGGGGAAACCCAGUGUGAUUCGUCACACUAUCAUUAACUGAAUCCAUAGGUUAAUGAGGCGAACCGGGGGAACUGAAACAUCUAAGUACCCCGAGGAAAAGAAAUCAACCGAGAUUCCCCCAGUAGCGGCGAGCGAACGGGGAGCAGCCCAGAGCCUGAAUCAGUGUGUGUGUUAGUGGAAGCGUCUGGAAAGGCGCGCGAUACAGGGUGACAGCCCCGUACACAAAAAUGCACAUGCUGUGAGCUCGAUGAGUAGGGCGGGACACGUGGUAUCCUGUCUGAAUAUGGGGGGACCAUCCUCCAAGGCUAAAUACUCCUGACUGACCGAUAGUGAACCAGUACCGUGAGGGAAAGGCGAAAAGAACCCCGGCGAGGGGAGUGAAAAAGAACCUGAAACCGUGUACGUACAAGCAGUGGGAGCACGCUUAGGCGUGUGACUGCGUACCUUUUGUAUAAUGGGUCAGCGACUUAUAUUCUGUAGCAAGGUUAACCGAAUAGGGGAGCCGAAGGGAAACCGAGUCUUAACUGGGCGUUAAGUUGCAGGGUAUAGACCCGAAACCCGGUGAUCUAGCCAUGGGCAGGUUGAAGGUUGGGUAACACUAACUGGAGGACCGAACCGACUAAUGUUGAAAAAUUAGCGGAUGACUUGUGGCUGGGGGUGAAAGGCCAAUCAAACCGGGAGAUAGCUGGUUCUCCCCGAAAGCUAUUUAGGUAGCGCCUCGUGAAUUCAUCUCCGGGGGUAGAGCACUGUUUCGGCAAGGGGGUCAUCCCGACUUACCAACCCGAUGCAAACUGCGAAUACCGGAGAAUGUUAUCACGGGAGACACACGGCGGGUGCUAACGUCCGUCGUGAAGAGGGAAACAACCCAGACCGCCAGCUAAGGUCCCAAAGUCAUGGUUAAGUGGGAAACGAUGUGGGAAGGCCCAGACAGCCAGGAUGUUGGCUUAGAAGCAGCCAUCAUUUAAAGAAAGCGUAAUAGCUCACUGGUCGAGUCGGCCUGCGCGGAAGAUGUAACGGGGCUAAACCAUGCACCGAAGCUGCGGCAGCGACACUAUGUGUUGUUGGGUAGGGGAGCGUUCUGUAAGCCUGUGAAGGUGUACUGUGAGGUAUGCUGGAGGUAUCAGAAGUGCGAAUGCUGACAUAAGUAACGAUAAAGCGGGUGAAAAGCCCGCUCGCCGGAAGACCAAGGGUUCCUGUCCAACGUUAAUCGGGGCAGGGUGAGUCGACCCCUAAGGCGAGGCCGAAAGGCGUAGUCGAUGGGAAACAGGUUAAUAUUCCUGUACUUGGUGUUACUGCGAAGGGGGGACGGAGAAGGCUAUGUUGGCCGGGCGACGGUUGUCCCGGUUUAAGCGUGUAGGCUGGUUUUCCAGGCAAAUCCGGAAAAUCAAGGCUGAGGCGUGAUGACGAGGCACUACGGUGCUGAAGCAACAAAUGCCCUGCUUCCAGGAAAAGCCUCUAAGCAUCAGGUAACAUCAAAUCGUACCCCAAACCGACACAGGUGGUCAGGUAGAGAAUACCAAGGCGCUUGAGAGAACUCGGGUGAAGGAACUAGGCAAAAUGGUGCCGUAACUUCGGGAGAAGGCACGCUGAUAUGUAGGUGAAGUCCCUCGCGGAUGGAGCUGAAAUCAGUCGAAGAUACCAGCUGGCUGCAACUGUUUAUUAAAAACACAGCACUGUGCAAACACGAAAGUGGACGUAUACGGUGUGACGCCUGCCCGGUGCCGGAAGGUUAAUUGAUGGGGUUAGCGCAAGCGAAGCUCUUGAUCGAAGCCCCGGUAAACGGCGGCCGUAACUAUAACGGUCCUAAGGUAGCGAAAUUCCUUGUCGGGUAAGUUCCGACCUGCACGAAUGGCGUAAUGAUGGCCAGGCUGUCUCCACCCGAGACUCAGUGAAAUUGAACUCGCUGUGAAGAUGCAGUGUACCCGCGGCAAGACGGAAAGACCCCGUGAACCUUUACUAUAGCUUGACACUGAACAUUGAGCCUUGAUGUGUAGGAUAGGUGGGAGGCUUUGAAGUGUGGACGCCAGUCUGCAUGGAGCCGACCUUGAAAUACCACCCUUUAAUGUUUGAUGUUCUAACGUUGACCCGUAAUCCGGGUUGCGGACAGUGUCUGGUGGGUAGUUUGACUGGGGCGGUCUCCUCCUAAAGAGUAACGGAGGAGCACGAAGGUUGGCUAAUCCUGGUCGGACAUCAGGAGGUUAGUGCAAUGGCAUAAGCCAGCUUGACUGCGAGCGUGACGGCGCGAGCAGGUGCGAAAGCAGGUCAUAGUGAUCCGGUGGUUCUGAAUGGAAGGGCCAUCGCUCAACGGAUAAAAGGUACUCCGGGGAUAACAGGCUGAUACCGCCCAAGAGUUCAUAUCGACGGCGGUGUUUGGCACCUCGAUGUCGGCUCAUCACAUCCUGGGGCUGAAGUAGGUCCCAAGGGUAUGGCUGUUCGCCAUUUAAAGUGGUACGCGAGCUGGGUUUAGAACGUCGUGAGACAGUUCGGUCCCUAUCUGCCGUGGGCGCUGGAGAACUGAGGGGGGCUGCUCCUAGUACGAGAGGACCGGAGUGGACGCAUCACUGGUGUUCGGGUUGUCAUGCCAAUGGCACUGCCCGGUAGCUAAAUGCGGAAGAGAUAAGUGCUGAAAGCAUCUAAGCACGAAACUUGCCCCGAGAUGAGUUCUCCCUGACUCCUUGA
rnacentral:rRNA from 1 species